rnacentral:tRNA from 1 species
CCAAUGAAAUUGAGAGUAAGAAGAAAAUCCGUCGACUUUAGAAAUCGUGAGGGUU